rnacentral:tRNA from 1 species
GCCCGGGUGGCUCAGUUGGUUAAGCACCCGACUUCAGCUCAGGUCAUGAUCUCACCAUUCGUGGGUUUGAGCCCCGCGUCGGGCU